CAAACAUUUAUUGUGUGCCAACUGUAUCCAGGCUCCCCUAGCACAAAGACGACUUCCCUCUGGGAGAAAGGUGUGUGGUCCAGACUCUAAGGUCUGUCCCAAGCUGCUGGCUAGACCCUGUCUGGAAUAAAAUGUAAACCAGGCAUGGGGGCACACGCAUUUAAUCUCAGCACUCCAGAGGCGGAGGCAGGAGGAUUUCUGUGAGUUCAAGGCCAGCCUGGUCUACAGAGUGAGAUCAUGUCACAAGAAAAAAAAAUCAAUAAAGGGGAGAAUGUUGAAGACUGAGUUAGUGUAGAUCCCUGCGUCAACGCCUCAGUAAGUCCCAGUUUACCUCCUCAACCUCAGUCUAAGGAAGACACGAGCUCAAGGCCUGCACGCCUUCCUGGGCCCCAGCAGCAGCAGCUCAAGGUCACCCCAGUGCUCCGAGGUCACACUGCACAACACUCUGCUUCCCCAGGUCUUCAUCCUGCAGACCUUGCUGCAGACGCUACCUGUCAUGAGCCCCUCCGGACAGCUGUUGCGGACCACGGAGCGCCAACUGCUCAUCUACCUACGCGUGGCCACAUGGAACCAGAUCUUGGACCCCUGGGUCUACAUCCUCUUCCGUAGGUCCGUGCUUCGACGCCUGCAUCCAAGGUUCACUUCCCAGCUCCAGGCUGUGUCCUUGCACUCACCCCCCACACAGGCCAUGCUCAGUGGACCCUGAAGGACGGUGCCAAUCAAAGCUGGGGUUCUUGGUGACUGCUAACGACCUGUCUCCUGUCCCAGGAGCCUGAAUGUUUGGUGGGAUGGAGUUACAACACAGGGCUGACUCCUGUGAACUACAAAGAUACCUCCUCCAUGCUAGGGAGAUCCUCCCUGGCCCCCUCCCCAGACUACUUGUCAGCUAGGAGGUUGGAGCAUAUGUGGGAGGUCCCUUGCAGGAAUCUAUGGUUACACAGAGAGAACCUGGAGUGCCGAUGGCAUCUCCCAUCUUGCCAUAGUCCGCGUCUGUCUCAGCCCCGUUGUCCCGGGGUUGUCCCGGGGCUUCAUGUUUGUUCCUUUAGGCUCAAGGAUCAUCGGCCUUGGGUGUUGGAAGCACCCACUGUGGUCCCAGUAGCUGGCUCUGGAGUUACCAACCUCUCCGUGUUUACUGAGCCCCCUCCCCCCACGGCUAUCCAACACACAUGCUCAAUAAAUGGUUGAAUGUCCGGGUAUACAGCAGGUGCUCAACCAAGCGUC
rnacentral:lncRNA from 1 species